ACUAUCUAGAGGCAUUGCAGGUGUGGCUGCUAUGUCACAUGUGUGUCAGUAGAUGGUAGAGAGGAGUGAGUCUGUGUCUAUAGCUCAAUGUUCUGACCUGUGAACAUCUGACUGAUUAGCAGCCUAACAUU